GAUGAAUAACGCAGCGAAAUGCGAUAAGUAAUGUGAAUUGCAGAAUUCAGUGAAUCAUCGAAUCUUUGAACGCACAUUGCGCCCGCCAGUAUUCUGGCGGGCAUGCCUGUUCGAGCGUCAUUACAACCCUCAGGCCCCCGGGCCUGGCGUUGGGGAUCGGCGGAGCCCCCCGUGGGCACACGCCGUCCCCCAAAUACAGUGGCGGUCCCGCCGCAGCUUCCAUCGCGUAGUAGCUAACACCUCGCGACUGGAGAGCGGCGCGGCCACGCCGUAAAACACCCAACUCUUCUGAAGUUGACCUCGAAUCAGGUAGGAAUACCCGCUGAACUUAAGCAUAUCAAUAAGCGGAGGA
rnacentral:misc_RNA from 1 species